rnacentral:rRNA from 1 species
GAUGAACGCUGGCGGUCUGCUUAACACAUGCAAGUCGAACGGAAGUAGCAAUACUUUAGUGGCGGACGGGUGAGUAACACGUAAGAAUCUGCCCCCAGGACGGGAAAAACAGUUGGAAACGACUGCUAAUUCCGGAUGAGCCGAAAGGGAAAAAGAAAUUCGCCUGGAGAUGAGCUUGCGGCUGAUUAGCUAGUUGGUAGGGUAAGAGCCUACCAAGGCGACGAUCAGUAGCUGGUCUGAGAGGAUGAGCAGCCACACUGGGACUGAGACACGGCCCAGACUCCUACGGGAGGCAGCAGUGGGGAAUUUUCCGCAAUGGGCGAAAGCCUGACGGAGCAAGACCGCGUGGGGGAGGAAGGUUCUUGGAUUGUCAACCCCUUUUCUCAGGGAAGAAGAUCUGACGGUACCUGAGGAAUCAGCAUCGGCUAACUCCGUGCCAGCAGCCGCGGUAACAC